rnacentral:rRNA from 1 species
GUGGGGAAUAUUGGGCAAUGGGCGCAAGCCUGACCCAGCAACGCCGCGUGAAGGAAGAAGGUUUUCGGAUUGUAAACUUCUUUUAAGAGGGACGAAGAAAGUGACGGUACCUCUUGAAUAAGCCACGGCUAACUACGUGCCAGCAGCCGCGGUCAUACGUAGGUGGCAAGCGUUAUCCGGAUUUACUGGGUGUAAAGGGCGUGUAGGCGGGAAUGCAAGUCAGAUGUGAAAAUUAUGGGCUCAACCCAUAACCUGCAUUUGAAACUGUGUUUCUUGAGUGAUGGAGAGGCAGGCGGAAUUCCGUGUGUAGCGGUGAAAUGCGUAGAUAUACGGAGGAACACCAGUGGCGAAGGCGGCCUGCUGGACAUUAACUGACGCUGAGGCGCGAAAGCGUGGGGAGCAAACAGGAUUAGAAACCCCUGUAGUCC